GGAAGUUCUGGAGGACAAUCAUAGGGUGGAAUUUCACAAGGAGGAAGCUCUAGUGGAAGAGGAGGAAGUUCUGGAGGACAAUCAUAGGGUGGAAUUUCACAAGGAGGAAGCUCUAGUGGAAGAGGAGGAAGUUCUGGAGGACAAUCAUAGGGUGGAAUUUCACAAGGAGGAAGCUCUAGUGGAAGAGGAGGAAGUUCUGGAGGACAAUCAUAGGGUGGAAUUUCACAAGGAGGAAGCUCUAGUGGAAGAGGAGGAAGUUCUGGAGGACAAUCAUAGGGUGGAAUUUCACAAGGAGGAAGCUCUAGUGGAAGAGGAGGAAGUUCUGGAGGACAAUCAUAGGGUGGAAUUUCACAAGGAGGAAGCUCUAGUGGAAGAGGAGGAAGUUCUGGAGGACAAUCAUAGGGUGGAAUUUCACAAGGAGGAAGCUCUAGUGGAAGAGGAGGAAGUUCUGGAGGACAAUCAUAUGGUGGAAUUUCAUCAGGAGGAAUUUCUGGAGGAGCAGGUAAUGCAAGUGGAAGACAGUCGCCAGGUGGCGUUUCUGGAAGUUCUAGACGGGGACAAUCACCUGGAAGAAUUUCACAAGGAGGAAGGUCUGGAGGAGGAAGUGGCUGUAGCGGAGGGCAAUCAUCAAGUGGCAUUUCCCAAGGAGGAGUUUCUGGAGGAGGAGGAAGUGCAGGUAGAAGGCAUUCAUCAGGUGGAAUUUCACCAGGAGGAAGUAUUAGGGGAGGACAGUCCUCUGGUGGAGUAUUACAAGGAGGAAGUUCUGGAGGUGGAAGUGGAGGAGGAAGACAAUCACGACGCUCAUCAUCUCCGUCUCAGUCUAGAUCUUCUGGUUGGUAUGGAGAGCAAGAUGAAUAUCAAACUCUGCCUGCAGAGGGAGAAGUAUUGGAAACAGGCAAUAAAAUGGAAGGGACAGAGGAGUCUUUAAUGCAAUCUGGCCAUCAUCAACAACAAAAGUAUUGAGCCAUCAUGGAUGCUAGCAUCUCACUCAUUCAACAAAUGGUUCCAGGUUGAAUGAUGGGUUCAACAAGACCAUCUAUCAAGCUAAUCUCUUCUUUCCAUUCACAGAAACAAAGGGGUCAAUCCCAAAUGCAUCCCCUCACAUUUUUACCACACUGAAUUAGAUUUGGCUGCUUCACAUAAUGUGACAACGUAGACAAGCCUGCCAGAUGUGUUGGAUGACAACUCCCAUCAUCCCCAACUAAGAUACCAAUUGUUCUGGAGGCAAUGGGAAUUGCAGUACAACACAUAUGAAGGGCAAACACUAAAAAAGCACUGGCUUGUGGGAAACUGGGCUAGGUUUCCAAACUGCAACAGAGAACCAGCAACCCAAAUCAGCUAUUCUUGUGGUGUCUCAUGGUAACUUUUUGGAAACUCCUACUUUAAACCUUUUUUUGCCACAUUAUUCCAAAUAUAGUAAAAAUGAACCUCAAAACUAAUACUGCUUUAGAAUUUUAACAAACAGUAUCGUAGAUCAAGCCAUAAAUCAUAACCUGUAUAUGCCAAUGUGCAAAGUAUAUUAGCAUAUACAGAUUAUGCUCAAAUAUUGUUGAAAGUCAUUGUGCAACGGAAGCUGAAACUACUAGGAAAAUAGCCAAAAUCUUGUUAGUUAUACCCACAAGGAUAAUGCAAACAGUGUAAUAUCUGAAAGCAAAUUGCCUCAAAUGAAGAA
rnacentral:lncRNA from 1 species